rnacentral:rRNA from 1 species
ACGCGAAGAACCUUACCUGGACUCGAAAUCUAGUUGCAAGUCUCAGAGAUGAGAUCCUCCCGCAAGGGACGGCUGGAUAGGUGCUGCAUGGCUGUCGUCAGCUCGUGUCGUGAGAUGUUGGGUUAAGUCCCGCAACGAGCGCAACCCUCAUUCUUAGUUGCUCGCCCGCAAGGGAAGCACCCUAAGAAAACCGCCUCGGAUAACGGGGAGGAAGGUGGGGAUGACGUCAAGUCCUCAUGGCCUUUAUGCCCAGGGCUACACACGUGCUACAAUGGCCGGUACAAAGCGUCGCCAACCCGCAAGGGGGAGCCAAUCGCAAAAAACCGGUCUCAGUUCGGAUUGCAGUCUGCAACUCGACUGCAUGAAGCUGGAAUCGCUAGUAAUCGCGUAUCAGAACGACGCGGUGAAUACGUUCCCGGGCCUUGUA